GGCGGAGCGGGGGCGGACCUCCUAUGUGCGCCCCGGGAUUUUCCCUGGAGGAGCUCUGCUCUGUCUCAGCUUGCCUCCUGCAGGGACAGACAACGACCUGCUGGUGUGCUGAUAAACGGCUGCCAUCGGACGAGAGCAAAGUCUGCAGCAGAAGUCCCCUGGCUGAUAGAGCGACUGGGGGUACUGGGGACAGGUUCAUUGUUCGAUAGAGUGACCGCUAGCAACUCUGGGGCUAUCUUCCUGUUCGUUAGCUGAGGCAAGAAGUUUUUCCUGGGACUGUGGCUUCUUCUGGAACUGUUCAGCUUUGCUCUGGCCCAAAAUACCUGAACAUUGCCGGGAGCCCCACUCCACAGCCCAGCGGAGGAGGCUUCAGGGACACCACAUCCUGGCUCCAGACCUUGGGAGAAGACAAGCAGGAGUAAAAAUCAACCAUCUUUCUCAACAACGAGAAGGUUUAUUAUCCAACAUGAUGAAUUUUCUUUUCCAUG